CCUGGCGGCUCAGAUGGUAAAGCGUCUGCCUGCAAUGCAGGAGACCCAGGUUCGAUCCCUGGGUCAGGA
rnacentral:tRNA from 1 species